UUUUUAACAUGGCUAUAGAGUAUUUAAGUCAAAACCCGAAUGGAGGUGAACUAUUCCUGCAAAGAUUGAAGUCAGGGGAAACUCUGAUGGAAGAUCGUUGGCGUUAUUGAUGUGCAAAUCAUUUGCUUUAUGUAGGUAUAGGUGCGAAAGACUCAUCGAACCUCCUAAUAGCUGGUUUCCUCCGAAGUUUCCCUCAGGAUAGCUGUAACAUUUUUAAAUAGUUAAGGAUAGUAGAGAAAUGGGUAGAGGUGUAGUGGAACUACGGUUCUGCAACUUAUUUCCAAACUUCGAACGUUCUUGAUAUAAAAAAUUACCUAAUAGGAAUUUUUUAUUUAAAUAUAUGUUAUAAGUGGGCUCUGACCGGUAAGCGGUCAUGGCGAAAAGGGAUGAACCUAACGUAUAAAUAAGGUGCCUAAAUUUACUAACAAUGAAACCAUUAAAAGAGUCCAUGUAUUUAGACAGCGGGUCGGUGCCCCUAAAAGCAGGUAUCCGUUAAUGAGUGUGUUAAAACUCCCCCGCCGAAUACUCUGGCCUUGAAAAUGAAUGGCGCAUAUAGUAAUACCGAUAUUAUACAUUAAAAUUAUUUAAAAAUUUUAAAAGUAGGGGGAUGUGGAUAUCUUAGAGAAUUUUUAAUUGUAAAAUUGAAUUGAAAGAUAUCUAUUACAGAUCCUAAUUGAAGUAGCGAUUAUCCAGGUUAAUCUCCUGGGGGCUGAUGAGGAGUAGGGUUUCUGGGCAACUUAAACGGACCCAGAGUUAGUCGAUCCUAAUCAAAUUAAAUUUAGAGAAAGGGAAUAUGAAUGAUAUUUCAUAACUAAAAUUAAUUUUUAAAUGGUGACAUUUUUUUAAACUUAUUUCCAUCAAUUAAAUACUGUUUAAUAGGGAUUUCUUUCCUAUAUAACUUUUUAAUUAAAACUUAAGAAACAGGUUAACUGGAGAAUAAAGUUUUAAUUUAGUAAAAUUAUAAUUUCGAUUAUAAUAACGGCUAUUUAAAUGAUCCAUGAAACGAUAAGUUUAUUUUUUCAAAAAUUAAUUUAAUCGUACCGAUAACCGCAUCAGGUCUCCAAGGUGAGUAGCUUCUGGCCAUUGAGUAAUGGUAAUUUAGGGAAUUCGGCCAAUUAGAGCUGUAACUUCGGGAUAAAGCUUGGCUCUGAUGGAAAUCAGAACCGAUAGUUACAAGGAGAGCCCAACUGUUUAAUAAAAACUUAGUGUCGCGUCAUACCUUUAUAAGUAAUAAACGUGACAUGAAUCCUGCUCAGUGCUGUGUUUGUUAAACUGGAUUAAUCCAUUUAAGCGCCGGUAAAUAGCUGGGGUAACUAUGACUCUUAUCAAAGUAGCGAAAUACCUCGUCACUUAAUUAGUGACCUGCAUGAACGGAGCUAUGAGGUUCUCACUGUCCCAAAUUAUCACUCAGCGAACCAACAGUUGUGGGAACGGGCACAAAUUAUCCAGCGGGGAAAGAAGACCCUGUAGAGCUUCACUUUGGUCUAAUCUUGUAUAGUUUCGUUAGGGGUGCAGUCUAGGUGGGAGAUUUUUAAUCAAAUAUGAGAAACCACUACCCUUUCUGGAAUUAUACUUACUAAAAUUCUUUUAUAAAUUUUAGGAUCGGAUUAGAUAGAAAGUUUGGCUGGGGCGGCACACCUUCGAAAAAGCAGCGAAGGUGUCCUAAGUUAAGCUCAGUAAGGACAGAAAUCUUACGUUGAGGAUAAGGCCAAAAGCUUAAUUUACUGUGCCUUUUUGUACUAGGAUCAGUUUGGAAACAAAGGCCUAACGAUCCCUAAUUAGUCUUAGGUGUGUAAGACUUGGGGUGACAGACAAGUUACCUCCGGGACAACUGGCUUGUGGCUGCUAAGAGAUCAAAUCAACGCAGCUUUUUGAUUCUUCGAUGUCGGCUCUUCCUAUCCUAGUGAUGUACAAGUCACUAAGGGUUGGAUUGUUCACCCGUAUUAGGGAUCGUGAGCUGGGUUUAGACCGUCGUGAGCCAGGUUUGUUUUAUCCUACUGGAUAUAAUUUAGCAUCUUGAUAGUAGUUUGAUUUAGUACGAGAGGAACUGUUGAAUAUGGUCUCUGGUUUGGGAAUUUUAUGAAAAUAAAAGUUCCAAAGCUACGCCGUCUGAGAUAAUGGCUGAAGGCCUCUUAAGCCAGAAACUCAUCUAAAAAUAGAUGCUUUAAACUAUUUAAAAGAAUUAAAUUUAAAAUAUUUUUUUUAUUAAAAUUUGU
rnacentral:rRNA from 1 species